rnacentral:rRNA from 1 species
UGGGGAAUCUUGGACAAUGGGGGAAACCCUGAUCCAGCAAUUUCGCGUGAAUGAUGAAGGCCUUAGGGUUGUAAAGUUCUUUUAGUAAGGAAGAUGAUGACGGUACUUACAGAAAAAGCUCCGGCUAACUCCGUGCCAGCAGCCGCGGUAAUACGGGGGGGGCGAGCGUUGUUCGGAAUUACUGGGCGUAAAGAGCGAGUAGGUGGUUUAUUUAGUCAAAUGUGAAAGCUUAGAGCUUAACUCUGAAAUUGCAUUUGAAACUGGUAAACUUGAGUUUGGGAGAGGAUAGUGGAAUUCUAAGUGUAGAAGUGAAAUUCGUAGAUAUUUAGAGGAACACCAAUAGCGAAGGCAACUAUCUGGCCCUUUACUGACACUCAGAAGCGAAAGCUUGGGUAGCAAACAGG